GCGCCUGUGGCCUAAUGGAUAAGGCGUUUGACUUCUAAUCAAACGAUUGUGGGUUCGAAUCCCACCAGGCGUG
rnacentral:tRNA from 1 species